rnacentral:ncRNA from 1 species
AAAAAAGCGUAGAUGAAGAAUAGUACAAAUAUUGAUGGUGUAAAGAGAGUGUGACCACCGGCUGAAAGUCACAUGACCCGCUCAAUUUUUAGAACCUACUUCUGAGCUGCUAUGAAAACAUAGCCGUCCCUUAGCGAUAAUAAGGAGCGAGAGUUGUGCUAAAGUCAUUUAGCAAAACAAGGUGGUACCGCGGAAACAUGCGUUUUCGUCCUUUUA